rnacentral:rRNA from 1 species
UCCGGAGGGGGCAAGCGUUAAUCGGAAUUACUGGGCGUAAAGCGCGCGUAGGCGGUUGGGUAAGUCAGAUGUGAAAGCCCCGGGCUUAACCUGGGAACUGCAUUUGAUACUGUCUGACUCGAGUAUGGUAGAGGGGGGUGGAAUUCCCGGAGUAGCGGUGAAAUGCGUAGAUAUCGGGAGGAACACCAGUGGCGAAGGCGGCCCCCUGGACCAAUACUGACGCUGAGGUGCGAAAGCGUGGGGAGGAAACAGG